GACGGAGGGUGCUAGCGUUGUUCGGAAUUACUGGGCGUAAAGCGCACGUAGGCGGAUUUGUAAGUCAGGGGUGAAAUCCCGGGGCUCAACCUCGGAACUGCCUUUGAUACUGCAAAUCUCGAGUCCGGAAGAGGUGAGUGGAAUUCCUAGUGUAGAGGUGAAAUUCGUAGAUAUUAGGAAGAACACCAGUGGCGAAGGCGGCUCACUGGUCCGGUACUGACGCUGAGGUGCGAAAGCGUGGGGAGCAAACAGG
rnacentral:rRNA from 1 species